CUAACUACGUGGUAGAGAUCCGCUUACAGAAGUUAGAGUGGUUAGGUCAGGAGGGGCACUUCCCCACUGGUAUGAGACCGGACCUAUCUACGAGGCAUCAUUGAGGAAUAUGGACAUUGGCGCAGCUGAUCCAGCCAUGCCGCGUGCAGAUGACGUCUAUGAUGUAACCUGCUUUAUACGAGAGAAACACUGCUCGUGAAGCAGCUGACGGUAUCGUAGAUAGAUCGCUACUCGUGCCAGCAGCGCGUAUACGGAGGAUCAGCGUAUCCGGAAUCAUUGGGUUAAAGGGUCCGUAGGCGGUUAAUAAGUCAGUGGUGAAGCCCAUCGCUCAACGGUGGAACGGCCAUUGAUACUGUUAGACUUGAAUUAUUAGGAAGUAACUAGAAUAUGUAGUGUAGCGGUGAAAUGCUUAGAUAUUACAUGGAAUACCAAUUGCGAAGGCAGGUUACUAACAAUACAUUGACGCUGAUGGACGAAAGCGUGGGGAGCGAACAGGAUUAGAUACCCUGGUAGUCCACGCCGUAAACGAUGGAUACUAGCUGUUUGGAAGCAAUUCUGAGUGGCUAAGCGAAAGUGAUAAGUAUCCCACCUGGGGAGUACGAACGCAAGUUUGAAACUCAAAGGAAUUGACGGGGGCCCGCACAAGCGGUGGAGCAUGCGGUUUAAUUCGAUGAUACGCGAGGAACCUUACCAGGGCUUAAAUGUAGGUUGACAGGCUUGGAAACAGGUUUUUCUUCGGACAACUUACAAGGUGCUGCAUGGUUGUCGUCAGCUCGUGCCGUGAGGUGUCAGGUUAAGUCCUAUAACGAGCGCAACCCCUGUCGUUAGUUGCCAGCGAGUCAUGUCGGGAACUCUAACGAGACUGCCGGUGCAAACCGUGAGGAAGGUGGGGAUGACGUCAAAUCAUCACGGCCCUUACGUCCUGGGCUACACACGUGCUACAAUGGCCGGUACAGAGAGCAGCCACUGGGCGACCAGGAGCGAAUCUACAAAACCGGUCACAGUUCGGAUCGGAGUCUGCAACCCGACUCCGUGAAGCUGGAAUCGCUAGUAAUCGGAUAUCAGCCAUGAUCCGGUGAAUACGUUCCCGGGCCUUGUACACACCGCCCGUCAAGCCAUGGAAGCUGGGGGUACCUGAAGUCGGUGACCGCAAGGAGCUGCCUAGGUAAAUCGAGCCG
rnacentral:rRNA from 1 species